CCUUUGACGUUAGCGGCGGACGGGUGAGUAACACGUGGGUAACCUACCUAUAAGACUGGGAUAACUUCGGGAAACCGGAGCUAAUACCGGAUAAUAUUUCGAACCGCAUGGUUCGAUAGUGAAAGGUGGUUUUGCUAUCACUUAUAGAUGGACCCGCGCCGUAUUAGCUAGUUGGUAAGGUAACGGCUUACCAAGGCGACGAUACGUAGCCGACCUGAGAGGGUGAUCGGCAACACUGGAACUGAGACACGGUCCAGACUCCUACGGGAGGCAGCAGCU
rnacentral:rRNA from 1 species